rnacentral:lncRNA from 1 species
GUUGUUUAUUUAUGUGUUACAUAUUUGUUUUUCGUUCAUUUUUUUUAUAUAAAUAAGGCCGUUAGUUUUCUCGUUUGAAUUGUUUUACUUUGUUAUAUCUGGGCCUUUUAUAGCUGACUAUGCGGUAUGGGCUUUGCUCAUUGUUGAAGGCCGUACGGUGAAUAUGACACCAAAGAAAUAAGACGCAAACUAAAUUACAAGAAAUUGCAAGAUAAAUAAAUGACGUAUAAAAAAUAAUUCCGAACGACAAUUGGUUAACACAAACA